rfam:Clostridium perfringens strain S04 phospholipase C (plc) gene, complete cds.
GAGAACUCUUAACUUGAAAAGUGGAAUGAUAGGGUAACGCCUUGAAACGCUUUCUCUAAUACUCCGACAUGCAGUAACUAUGUGUGAAAGUUAUUGUGUGAAGCUCGGUGAAGUCGGCAGAAAAUUACCGUAAUAGAUAAUAUUAUCUAACGAAAGUGUUCUAGAGGUAGAAUAUGUAGUUGAUAUGCCGGGAGUCGUUAAA